ACUAGAGCCAAAAUCUAUCUCAAAAGUUUAGAAUAUUAGUAUUCCUCCUUUUAAAUAAUAUUCAGUGAGAAAUAACACUUAGAAUACAACUUUUUCUGUGAGGAAGGAAUAAUAAUUAUCUGC
ensembl:misc_RNA